ACCAUUCAGCUCUUGCACCUACUUUCAUUUCAUACAACUACAAAGUUGAAAAAAGAAAUAUGGGUUCUAAAAGUUUCCUACUACUUGCUCUGUGCAUUGCUUUUGCUCUUCUCCUUAGUUCAGAAGUUGCAGCUAGACAAUUAGCUGAAACUAGGACUACGACUGAGGGAGGUGAUUCAGAUGGUGGAGGCCACUACAACCGCGGAGUAGUCGGUGGAAGAGACAGAGCACUCGAAGAGUACAAACCAACGCCCUAUAAAACACCAACAUGCGUUAAAACAUGUUAUGGCAUGUGUUGUUAAGAAGCUGAAGCAAAAGCACCUCACAACUAGCUAGAGGCCACUAGAAGCAUAUACGUACUUGUAAUAUUACUAAUACUUACAAAUAAGUUGCAGCACUCAGUACUUACAAAUAAAAUGCUUGAACUCAAAACAAGCAUGUAUCACUUGGUGAUUUGGAUGCACUUAUUUUUCCUGACUUAUUUCGGGAAAAAAAAUAUAUUUAUUUAAUAUUAAUUUUUUUAUCGAA